rnacentral:tRNA from 1 species
GUCCAGGGUAGCCUAGUGGGCAUGGCAUCUGCCCGGUAAGCGGAAGGUCGUGGGUUCAAUUCCCAUCCCUUGACA